rnacentral:rRNA from 1 species
CUUUUCUGGACCUGCCCUUUUGCAGCUCAAUGUUGGGACCUGAUUUGCCCUUCAAGACAGCCAAAUGCUUCAAUUGUGGAAGCUUUUCUUGAUCUCAAGCAGAAGUUACAUGUACCUUUUUUCAUGGAGAUAAUCAUCCUUGCUUCCUGGGCUAUCUGGAUCUCAAGGAACAACUUGAUCUUCCAAGCAGUACAACCUAGCAUUCAGAGGUGGAAAGCUAUUUUCCUGGAAGAGCUAAAUCUUCUAAGAUUUAGAAUUAAGAAGAGUUAUGCUGGAGUUUAUUGUUCCUGGCUUGACAAUCUUGUACUGUAA